GCACUGCUGAGGAGUCCCACAAUAGAACGAACACAGCUGUCCAGUGC
rnacentral:hammerhead_ribozyme from 1 species